rnacentral:rRNA from 1 species
UACGGGGGGGGCAAGCGUUGUUCGGAAUUACUGGGCGUAAAGGGCCUGUAGGCGGCCAACUAAGUCCGACGUGAAAUCCCCAGGCUUAACCUGGGAACUGCAUCCGAUACUGGAUGGCUUGAAUCCGGGAGAGGGAUGCAGAAUUCCAGGUGUAGCGGUGAAAUGCGUAGAUAUCUGGAGGAAUACCGGUGGCGAAGGCGGCAUCCUGGACCGGCAUUGACGCUGAGUGAGCGAAAGCCAGGGGAGCAAACAGG